rnacentral:rRNA from 1 species
ACAGCAGUGCCGCGGUAAUACAGAGGGUGCGAGCGUUAAUCGGAUUUACUGGGCGUAAAGCGUGCGUAGGCGGCUUCUUAAGUCGGAUGUGAAAUCCCUGAGCUUAACUUAGGAAUUGCAUUCGAUACUGGGAAGCUAGAGUAUGGGAGAGGAUGGUAGAAUUCCAGGUGUAGCGGUGAAAUGCGUAGAGAUCUGGAGGAAUACCGAUGGCGAAGGCAGCCAUCUGGCCUAAUACUGACGCUGAGGUACGAAAGCAUGGGGAGCAAACAGGAUUAGAGACCCCCGUAGUCCCUGUCUCUUAUACA